UAAUACAUGCAAGUCGAGCGCAUCCUUCGGGAUGAGCGGCGGACGGGUGAGUAACGCGUGGGAAUAUGCCCUUCUCUAAGGAAUAGCCUCGGGAAACUGAGAGUAAUACCUUAUACGCCCUUCGGGGGAAAGAUUUAUCGGAGAGGGAUUAGCCCGCGUUAGAUUAGGUAGUUGGUGGGGUAAUGGCCUACCAAGCCUACGAUCUAUAGCUGGUUUGAGAGGAUGAUCAGCCACACUGGGACUGAGACACGGCCCAGACUCCUACGGGAGGCAGCAGUAGGGAAUCUUAGACAAUGGGGGAAACCCCUGAUCUAGCCAUGCCGCGUGUGUGAUGAAAGGCUUUAGGGUCGUAAAGCACUUUCGCCAGAGAUGAUAAUGACAGUAUCUGGUAAAGAAACCCCGGCUAACUCCGUGCCAGCAGCCGCGGGUAAUACGGAGGGGGUUAGCGUUGUUCGGAAUUACUGGGCGUAAAGCGCACGUAGGCGGAUUAGUAAGUUAGAGGUGAAAUCCCAGGGCUCAACCCUGGAACUGCCUUUAAUACUGCUAGUCUUGAGUUCGAGAGAGGUAAGUGGAAUUCCGAGUGUAGAGGUGAAAUUCGUAGAUAUUCGGAGGAACACCAGUGGCGAAGGCGGCUUACUGGCUCGAUACUGACGCUGAGGUGCGAAAGUGUGGGGAGCAAACAGGAUUAGAUACCCUGGUAGUCCACACCGUAAACGAUGAAUGCCAGACGUCAGCAAGUAUACUUGUUGGUGUCACACCUAACGGAUUAAGCAUUCCGCCUGGGGAGUACGGUCGCAAGAUUAAAACUCAAAGGAAUUGACGGGGGGCCCGCACAAAGCGGUGGAGCAUGUGGUUUAAUACGACGCAACGCGCAGAAACCUUACCAGCCCUUGACAUCCUGUGCUACUACCAGAGAUGGUACGUUCCCUUCGGGGACGCAGUGGCAGGUGCUGCAUGGCUGUCGUCAGCUCGUGUCGUGAGAUGUUCGGUUAAGUCCGGCAACGAGCGCAACCCACAUCUUUAGUUGCCAUCAGGUUAUGCUGGGCACUCUAGAGAAACUGCCCGUGAUAAGCGGGAGGAAGGUGUGGAUGACGUCAAGUCCUCAUGGCCCUUACGGGUUGGGCUACACACGUGCUACAAUGGCAGUGACAAUGGGUUAAUCCCAAAAAGCUGUCUCAGUUCGGAUUGGGGUCUGCAACUCGACCCCAUGAAGUCGGAAUCGCUAGUAAUCGCGUAACAGCAUGACGCGGUGAAUACGUUCCCGGGCCUUGUACACACCGCCCGUCACACCAUGGGAGUUGGUUCUACCCGACGACGCUGCGCUAACCCUUCGGGGAGGCAGGCGGCCACGGUAGGAUCAGCGACUGGGGUG
rnacentral:rRNA from 1 species